GUUGAACCGGCAAAGUGAGGGAUGGAAGCAAAUGCGGGUGAAUGUCGCACGUGAGGCUGUGCUGUUGAAUUCCUGGAGGUGUUGGAUGCUGGGUGGUUAGACCUUUUCUUUGGCAUCUCCUAGAGGGAUAAUGUUGACCCGGCUGAAAACAAAAUCAGAGAGGAAGCUUGCUAAACAAAUUUGCAAAGUUGUAUUGGAUCAUUUUGAAAAGCAGUACUCCAAAGAACUUGGAGAUGCCUGGAAUACAGUAAGGGAUAUACUAAUAACUCCAUCAUGCUGGCAAUAUGCUGUCCUUCUUAACCGAUUCAAUUAUUCUUUUAAACUGGAAAAAGAUUUACAUUUAAAGGGCUAUCACACACUCUUUCAAGGAUCUUUACCCUACUAUCCUAAAUCAAUGAAGUGUUACCUUAGCAGAACUCCAGCCAGAAUGCCUUCAGAAAGACACCAAAUUGGAAAUCUAAAAAAAUACUAUCUUCUGAAUGCCGCCUCUCUUCUCCCGGUAUUGGCUCUGGAGUUAAGAGAUGGGGAGAAGAUUCUGGAUCUCUGUGCUGCUCCUGGAGGCAAGUCGAUCGCUCUGCUACAGUGUGCCUAUCCAGGUUAUCUUCACUGUAAUGAACACGAUAGUCUGAGAUUGAGGUGGCUGAGGCAGACGUUAGAAUCUUUCAUCCCGCAGCCUUUGAUAAAUGUAAUUAAAGUGUCUGAAUUGGAUGGCAGAGAAAUGGGAGAUGCCCAGCCUGAAAUGUUUGACAAGGUGUUAGUUGAUGCUCCGUGUUCAAACGAUCGAAGUUGGCUGUUCUCUUCUGAUUCUCAGAAGGCAGCCUGUAGAAUAAGCCAGAGGAGCAGUUUGCCUGUUCUGCAGAUGCAGCUCUUGAGGUCUGCAAUUAAGGCCUUACGCCCUGGAGGGUUACUUGUUUACUCUACUUGCACACUUUCCAAGGCAGAAAAUCAAGAUGUCAUCAGUGAAAUUUUAAACUCCUACAGUAACAUCAUGCCCGUGGACAUUAAGGAAAUGGCAAGGACUUGCUCCCAAGACUUCACAUUUGCUCCCACUGGCCAGGAGUGUGGACUCUUGGUGAUACCAGAUAAAGGCAAAGCCUGGGGCCCAAUGUAUGUAGCCAAAUUGAAAAAAUCAUGGACUACGUGAUAUUGGUGACAUGCAUUUUAACAACUUGAGGAGUGAGUUUUGUAACUGCCUUAUGUGAAUGAGAAAACCCUAGCUCAGUGCCAUUUGUACUACACUGAUGCUGAACUGAAGAAUAGAACUUUGGAGCAGCCCUGCAAUGUCAAUUGAAAAGCAAGGAGUAAUCGAUAUUACUUUCUGUGGCAUUGAGUUACUUUCAAAAUAGCUUUAUAAAAAUUUAGGUUGCUUACCAACACAUUAACUUCUUUUUGCCUUCAGCACACUCUAUAGCCAAUAGAUUCAGAA